UAUCUUGUCUGUGAACCUGUAGCCUUCCAGUUCGCUCCCUGUCUCAGUGCAUCCAGGAACCUCAUGUACAGUGGCACAGCAGCCAGGGCCUUCACCUGCUGAGACGCUACAGCCAGGACUCUACCUGCAGGUUCACCACCACCACCACCACCAAAGGAUGUCUCCUCAGCUAGUGGUGAACCUUGGCAUCAACCUCUGAUGUAUCCAGCCCCAUCACAAGCCCCACAAAAAGAAAAGUGUCACCACCUGGACGCACACUGUUUCUCCUGUGUCUCUUCCUCCUUCUCCUGUUCCUGUAUCAAGCUUCUUCCAUUCUGCCUCCACUGCUACAGCUGAACCCCCUCUGCUCCUCUCACCUUGCCAUUGCCUAAAAAUGUGGGGAUCGUACCUGUUUCAGAUGCUGCCUGGAUGCCCACAAAGCUGCUAAAGACAUUUCAGCAGCCCUGUGGAAAGACCAGCGUCUUUUCAAAGACCUGAAACUGUGGUAUGAUCCACCAGAGUCCUCCCUCAUAUACCAUCAGGUCCUCACUCCUGAGCGCUUCUUCCACCACGACUUUUCUCAUGGAAAAAACAUGGUGUGACAUUCUUUGUCAAUAUGUAUAUAAUGUAAAUAGUUUUAAAAGAAAAAAGUCUUAAUUUGCUGCUGUUCUAUUUUGUUUUUUAACUUUAACACACGUGUUUGUGAGUGUGUGUGUGAAAUUUGUAAUAAAUUUGUUACAUUUCAGUGACUGUCUUCAUUUUUUACUGCAAAAAUGCAAACUCACUCAUAGAAAACGAUAACAUUGUUGCAGUACUUCAUUCAGAAAUAUAAAAAUGACUAUAAAAGUACAUUUAGGUACAUGUGAUAACACUUGGUAGUAGUCUGUGUUAAAGGCCUCAUGUUCCAACGGUGGAAUCGAACCGGCGACCUUUGGGUCAAGAGCCUCCUAUGCUUUUCUGCAGUUAAGUGUCAUAUUUGGUUAAAUUUCUCAAAUUAAUAGACCAGAAUAUGUGUGAUUUUACUUGUGAUGGACAGUAGAGACACUAAUAACUACAGGGUC